CCUACGGGUGGCAGCAGUGAGGAAUAUUGGUCAAUGGACGAGAGUCUGAACCAGCCAAGUAGCGUGAAGGAUGACUGCCCUAUGGGUUGUAAACUUCUUUUAUAAAGGAAUAAAACGAGGCACGUGUGCCUUUUUGUAUGUACUUUAUGAAUAAGGAUCGGCUAACUCCGUGCCAGCAGCCGCGGUAAUACGGAGGAUCCGAGCGUUAUCCGGAUUUAUUGGGUUUAAAGGGAGCGUAGAUGGGUUGUUAAGUCAGUUGUGAAAGUUUGCGGCUCAACCGUAAAAUUGCAAUUGAUACUGGCAGUCUUGAGUACAGUUGAGGUAGGCGGAAUUCGUGGUGUAGCGGUGAAAUGCUUAGAUAUCACGAAGAACCCCGAUUGCGAAGGCAGCUUACUGAACUGUGACUGACAUUGAGGCUCGAAAGUGUGGGUAUCAAACAGGAUUAGAUACCCCUGUAGUC
rnacentral:rRNA from 1 species